GCCUGGGUGGCUCAGUUGGUUGAGCAUCUGACUUUAGUUCAGGUCAUGAUCUUGUGGUUCAUGAGUUCAAGCCCCAUGUUGGGCU
rnacentral:tRNA from 1 species